rfam:Ailuropoda melanoleuca scaffold38_233, whole genome shotgun sequence.
GCCUGGCUGGCUCAGCCAGUAGAGCAUGUGACUCGUGAUCUCAGGGUUGUGAGUUUGAGCCCCACGUUGAGUG